rnacentral:rRNA from 1 species
ACGCUCGACACCUACUGGAGGCAGCAGUGGGGAAUAUUGCACAAUGGGGGAAACCCUGAUGCAGCGACGCCGCGUGAGUGAAGAAGUAUUUCGGUAUGUAAAGCUCUAUCAGCAGGGAAGAAAAUGACGGUACCUGAGUAAGAAGCCCCGGCUAACUACGUGCCAGCACGCCGGACGGUAAUCUGGAGGCCGGGGCGUGGGACGAAGGGC